ACUAAAAUAAGUGGUGUGCUAAUAACACGAAACUAUGUGAGCUAAUUUUUUCCAGUUGUCAUGUUGUAAAAUGAUAAGUUGAGAAAGAAUUAGGGGUGAUAGGCUUUACAAACAUAGUGAUAUCUUGAUUCUUCUGAAAUGUAUUAGUACAUUGUAGGAUUUAAAGCUAUAAGGUUUUAAAUAACGAUGAAUUUUAAUAUGUACGUUGUAAGAUAUAAAAGUCUAUACACCAAAUAUAAUAAUAUUAUUAUUGUGUAAUUGUUAAUUUUAAGAGGAUGUAAGUAACCUUCAUAAAUAUUAAUAAUGUUACUAUAAGUAUUGAGAAGAUGUUAAUAGUGAACUCGGCAUUAAAUCUUCAACUGUUUAUCAAAAACAUAGCUGCGUGUAAAUAUACGCAGUGUUUUCUGCUCAAUGAAAUUUUAAAUAGCCGCAGUACCUUGACUGUGCAAAGGUAGCGUAAUCAUUUGGCUUUUAAUUGAAGUCGCGUAUGAAUGAAUAUAUGGGGAUUUUCUUUACCAUUAGCAAGAUUAAAAAUUACUUAAUGGGUGAAAAAUCCCAUACUUAAAUAAUAGACGAGAAGACCCUAGAAAUUUAUAUUGACUUUUUGUUGGGGCAACAUAGUAACAAGUAACUUACUAUAUGUAUAUGAAAUUUGUUUGAUAACAUAAAUUACUCUAGGGAUAACAGCAUAAUAUUUAAGAUGUUUGUGACCUCGAUGUUGGAUUAGGGAGUUAUAGUUUAGAAGACUUUUAAUCUUGCUCUGUUCGCGC
rnacentral:rRNA from 1 species